AGCCCUGCAGUUGCAGAAAUAUCAGAUUGCAAAUCUGAAGGAGCGGGUUAACACCUGCCGGGGCUU
rnacentral:tRNA from 1 species